rnacentral:rRNA from 1 species
UACGGAGGAUGCAAGCGUUAUCCGGAAUGAUUGGGCGUAAAGCGUCCGCAGGUGGCUAUGUAAGUCUGCUGUUAAAGAGUGAGGCUCAACCUCAUAAGAGCAGUGGAAACUACAUGGCUAGAGUGCGUUCGGGGCAGAGGGAAUUCCCGGUGUAGCGGUGAAAUGCGUAGAGAUCGGGAAGAACAUCGGUGGCGAAAGCGCUCUACUGGACCGCAACUGACACUCAGGGACGAAAGCUAGGGGAGCGAAUGGG